CCUACGGGAGGCAGCAGUAGGGAAUAUUGCUCAAUGGGGGAAACCCUGAAGCAGCAACGCCGCGUGGAGGAUGAAGGUUUUCGGAUUGUAAACUCCUUUUGUUAGAGAAGAUAAUGACGGUAUCUAACGAAUAAGCACCGGCUAACGCCGUGCCAGCAGCCGCGGUAAUACGGAGGGUGCAAGCGUUACUCGGAAUCACUGGGCGGAAAGAGCGCGGAGGCGGGAUAGCAAGUCAGAUGUGAAAUCCUAUGGCUUAACCAUAGAACUGCAUUUGAGACUGUUAUUCUAGAGUAUGGGAGAGGUAGGUGGAAUUCUUGGUGUAGGGGUAAAAUCCGUAGAGAUCAAGAGGAAUACUCAUUGCGAAGGCGACCUGCUAGAACAUAACUGACGCUGAUGCGCGAAAGCGUGGGGAGCAAACAGGAUUAGAUACCCCAGUAGUC
rnacentral:rRNA from 1 species